GAUCCUGUGAAGAGACCAGCAUGGUCAAAGGCAGAGACAUGCUGACCAUUCGGAGAGAGAGAAGGAGAGAGAAAGCAACUUCACAGUCUCACAGAGACAGAGAGAAUGUGGCUACGCAAAUCUAUAAGAAACUUGGGAAGCAUUAUCAACUUAAGGGGCUGAAUAGGAUUACAGGUCGAAGUCCCCACCUGCUUCAAGAAGACCACCACGAUCCCUGUACCUAAGAAAGCACAUUUGAAAGCUAAGAAAGCAUAAGUGUGCCUUAAUGACUAUUGCCCAGUGGCUCUGACCUCAGUAAUCAUGAAGUGCUUUGAGGGGUUCUUCAUGGCCCAUGUCAAUUCCAGUCUCCCAGCCUGCCUCGAUCCCCUACAAUUUGCCUACUGAUGUAAAAGGUCCACAGAGGAUGCCAUAUCCCUAGUCCUGCACUCAUCCCUGAAACAUUGGACAUCAAAGACACCUACGUCGGACUCCUGCUCAUUGAUUACAGCUACACCUACAACACCAUUAUCCAUGACCUUGGUUUUGGCACCUCCCUCUGCAACUGGAUCCUCAGCUUUUUGCCUCAUAGGCUGCAAUCAGUGAAGAUAGGUAAUUACCCCUUCUCCAAAAUAACACGCAACAUUAGCGCUCACCAAGGAUGUAUUCUCAGCCCCUACUGUACUGUACUCCCUUUACAGCUACGACUGUGUGGCCAAAUUCCAAAUGAAGGCCAUCUACAAGUUUGAUGACAACACCACUGUAGCGGAAUGGAUAUCUAACAACGAUGAGUCAAACUACAGAAGGGAGAUAGAGGGCUUGGUGACGUCGUGCAAUGAAAACAAUGUCUCUCAACGUCCGGCAGAACUAAAGAACUGAUCAUUGACUUCAGAAAGAAAGGAGAACACGCCCCCAUCUACAUCAAUGGAGCUGAGUUUGAGAGAUUGAACAGCAUCAAGUUCCUGCCCCGAUGACCUGUCCCAGACUUCCCACGUAGAUGCAACAGUCAAGAAAGCACAACAACGCCUCUUCUUCCUCAGGCAGCUCAGGAAAUUUGCCGUGUCCAUAAGGUCACUCACUAACUUCUACAGAUGCACCAUUGAAAGCACACUGUCUGGGUACAUAAUGCCCUGGUAUGGCAACUGCUCUGCCCAGGACUGUAAGAAACUACAGAAGGUUGUGUGCACAGCCCAGUCCACCACAGAAGCCAACAUCCCAUCCAUGGACUGUAUUUAUAUGGCUCACUGCUGCAGAAAGGCUGCCAACAUCCUCAAAGACCCAUCGUCCCUGAUAAUGACCUCCUACAGCCUCUUCCUUCAGGCAGAAGAUACAGAAGCCUGAACACACACAUGAACAGCUUCAGGAACAGCUUCUUCCUGGCCGUUAUUAGACUAAUGAAUGGAUGCUCUAGCCUCAAAUAAUGCUGAUCUUGCUAACAUUGAUCUUGCCUAGCACACUCCCUGUGCAAUGUAACCUGCAUGUCUCUAAGUCUUUUUGAUCUGUACAUCCUUUGCUUACUAUGACCUGCCUAUAUUACUCGUAAACAAACCUUCUCACUGUAUUUCAGCACACAUGACAAUCAAUCAAUCUUCAUGUGUUUCAAGAAGGAUUCGGCUGAUUCCUGGGAUGAAGGUUUUUUAUUGCUCAGUUGAGCAGAUUGAGCCUGUAAUUUAUGGGAAUUUAGAAGACUGAGAUGUGAUCUUAUUGAAACACAUAAGAUUCUGAGGCGGACAGGCUUGAUGCUGGGAAGAUGUUUCCUUUUGGAGGAAACCAAACUAGCGAAAACAGAUUCAAAAGGGUUUAUCUCCCAUUUAAUACAGGGAUGAGGAGAAUUUCUUCUCUCAGAGUGUUGCUGGUGUUUGGAAUGCUCCUCCAGAAAGUAGAAUCACAACAUUAUUACUGUACAAAAGGAGGCCAUCCAGCCCAUCAUGCCUGCACUAGCUUUAUUAUCCAGUGCCAUUUUCCUGCCUUUCCCUCAUAUCCCUGCACACCAUUACUAUCCAAAUAACCGUCCGAUUCCCUCUUGAAUACCUGAAUUGAAUCUACCGCCACCGCAUUUCCAGGCAGUGCAUUCCAAACCCUAACAACUUGCUGUGUGAGAAGCACUUAAGGCUGGCCUUCAUUGAAUAUAUUUGAGGCUGAGUUAGACAGAAUUUUGAUCGACAAUCAGGUUGCCAACUCUGAGUGAAGAUUUCUUGGAGAUUUGCUUUUGAGCAUUAUGACACAUUGUUACUUGUUAGUUCAACCAUGCGCAAUAAAGUCAUCACUUUUUUUUUAACUGAG